rnacentral:rRNA from 1 species
AAGACCUUACGCUUUUGGAGCGGCCGAUGUCUGAUUAGCUUGUUGGUGAGGUAAAGGCUUACCAAGGCUUCGAUCAGUAGCUGGUCUGAGAGGACGACCAGCCACACUGGGACUGAGACACGGCCCAGACUCCUACGGGAGGCAGCAGUGGGGAAUUUUGGACAAUGGGGGAAACCCUGAUCCAGCCAUGCCGCGUGAGUGAAGAAGGCCUUCGGGUUGUAAAGCCCUUUCAGCCGGAACGAAACGGUUACGGUUAAUACCCGUGAUUACUGACGGUACCGGAAGAAGAAGCACCGGCUAACUACGUGCCAGCAGCCGCGGUAAUACGUAGGGUGCGAGCGUUAAUCGGAAUUACUGGGCGUAAAGCGUGCGCAGGUGGUUUUGUAAGUCAGAUGUGAAAGCCCCGGGCUCAACCUGGGAACU